rnacentral:pre_miRNA from 1 species
GGGCCUUCUUUUGGAUGUUCUGGGUCUCACUGACUCAGCUGCAGUUUGUUAGGUAAGUUUAGAAUUCAAAAGACCAGGCCA